GCCACUUUAGCUUAGUGGCAGAGCGUCCGCUUUGUAAGCAGAAGGUCGUCAGUCAAA
rnacentral:tRNA from 1 species